AAUCAACGCUGGCGGCGCGCUUAACACAUGCAAGUCGAACGAGAAAGGGAGCAAUCCUGAGUAAAGUGGCGUACUGGUGAGUAACACGUGGAUAUCUACCUCUUGGUGGGGGAUAACCUGGGGAAACCUGGGCUAAUACCGCAUAAGUUCGUGAGAAGAAAGGCGCAAGUCGCCGAGAGAGGAGUCCGCGGUCGAUUAGGUAGUUGGCAGGGUAAAAGCCUACCAAGCCGAAGAUCGAUAGCCGGCCUGAGAGGGCACACGGCCACACUGGCACUGAAACACGGGCCAGACUCCUACGGGAGGCAGCAGUGGGGAAUCUUGCACAAUGGGGGAAACCCUGAUGCAGCGACGCCGCGUGAGCGAUGAAGCCCUUCGGGGUGUAAAG
rnacentral:rRNA from 1 species